UGGGGAAUUUUGGACAAUGGGGGAAACCCUGAUCCAGCCAUCCCGCGUGUGCGAUGAAGGCCUUCGGGUUGUAAAGCACUUUUGGCAGGAAAGAAACGUCGCGGGUUAAUACCCCGCGAAACUGACGGUACCUGCAGAAUAAGCACCGGCUAACUACGUGCCAGCAGCCGCGGUAAUACGUAGGGUGCAAGCGUUAAUCGGAAUUACUGGGCGUAAAGCGUGCGCAGGCGGUUCGGAAAGAAAGAUGUGAAAUCCCAGAGCUUAACUUUGGAACUGCAUUUUUAACUACCGGGCUAGAGUGUGUCAGAGGGAGGUGGAAUUCCGCGUGUAGCAGUGAAAUGCGUAGAUAUGCGGAGGAACACCGAUGGCGAAGGCAGCCUCCUGGGAUAACACUGACGCUCAUGCACGAAAGCGUGGGGAGCAAACAGGAUUAGAUACCCUGGUAGUCCACGCCCUAAACGAUGUCAACUAGCUGUUGGGGCCUUCGGGCCUUAGUAGCGCAGCUAACGCGUGAAGUUGACCGCCUGGGGAGUACGGUCGCAAGAUUAAAACUCAAAUGAAUUGACGGGGUCGAUANCU
rnacentral:rRNA from 1 species